rnacentral:sRNA from 1 species
UGCGCUGGAUUAUGACUG